rnacentral:tRNA from 1 species
CAGGGAAUAGUUUAAUUAGAAUGUCAGCUUUGGGUGCUGGUGGUGGGG